rnacentral:rRNA from 1 species
UACGUAGGGUGCAAGCGUUGUCCGGAAUUAUUGGGCGUAAAGAGCUCGUAGGCGGUUUGUCGCGUCGGCUGUGAAAACUCGGGGCUCAACCCCGAGCCUGCAGUCGAUACGGGCAGACUAGAGUGCUGUAGGGGAGACUGGAAUUCCUGGUGUAGCGGUGAAAUGCGCAGAUAUCAGGAAGAACACCUAUGGCGAAGGCAGCUCUCUGGGACGGUACUGACGCUGAGACGCGAAAGCGUGGGGAGCGAACAGG